UAACUGUUCAUUUUGCAAAAAUCCAAAACGGUGCCAGAGCAGCGUUUCUUGAGUUUCUUCCUCUUGCAAAAGAGCCAGUCAGAGACAUCAUUUCAGGCGGCUGAAAUGAAUAAAUGCCGAACUUGCUAUCGGGACUUGCUAGUUGAUGAGGACGCCAAAGAUCUCUACAAUCAAAAUAACAAUGCUCUGCUGUACCACAUAGAGGCAAUAACUGGCGUCUGGAUAAGCGGGCUGCAGGGUGUGCCUCAUCACAUGUGCCCGCAAUGCCAGGACACCUUGCAGAAAGCCAUUGAGUUUCGAGAGAAAUGCAUAAGAACUGAAUUCGGACUCACCAGCCACCAAGCCAGCAAAGGGCUCACGGAGCGUGAUUCCCCAAAAACCGAAGCAGAAACUGAGGAAAUCGAAACUGAAUUGGAGAAUGUAUUGUACGAAGAGUCGGCGCAACAAAACGAAGGCUUAUCAGACACAGAGUCACUUUAUAUGGAAUAUCCGCUCAUAGAAGCUAUUGAAACCGAACAGUGUGGACCAGCAGGCAAUGGUCCAUACCACAACAAACACAAAGUGGAUCCUUUCCACUCAGAACCGAAAUUGCAAACGCCAAGGGCAAAACGAUCAAAACUAACCAAAGAGGAAAAGAAUCUUAAGCGGCGCGAGCAGAUACGCUCCAAGCCACUAAGCUAUGUCUGCGAGCAGUGUGGGCAUGCCUUUCGUAUGUCUUCCCACCUACAGCUUCAUAUGCUUCGUCACAGCCGCGUCAAGAACUUUGAGUGCCCGGAAUGCUUGAAGAAAUUCUACACCUCGUACUUGCGGGACAGUCACCUACGCGUUCGUCACAACCGAGAGCGUCCGUUCCCAUGUAACCAUUGCAGCGAAACGUUUGCCUACUGCAAUAUGCGUCAGAGGCAUGAGAGGGAGAUUCACGGAGCACCUCCUCGCAUUGUCAUGAGUCGCAGCAGCACAAAUCCAAAAGUUCAACAGGACAAUUGUAAGCGUCACUUUUGCCAGCUCUGCACAAAAAGUUAUGCCUCGAAGUAUUCGCUCAGUUGGCAUAUGAACUCGCACACUGGGGUCAGGAACCUCAAGUGCAAGUCGUGCGACAUGACCUUUCCCGAUCCUGUUUCGGUGAGACGGCACGAGCGGUUGCAUGAGAAGAGGCCUCUGCAAUGUGAUGUCUGUUUGAAAGGAUUUUUCGUUCUCAGCAAGCUCAAUGAGCAUAAGCUUAUACACUCUGGCGAUCGGCCAUUUAGGUGUGAAAUUUGCGAUGUAUAUUUUCGAUACAAAUAUAAUCUCACAACACACAGGCACAGUAAAAUCCACGAGUCGAAUUUGUUAAAGAUUCAAGAAGAGAAAAAGGCUUAAUUAAAUAUAAAACGCAACUGAACAUGAAAUGAUCAAAUAAAUGAAGAAUUAUUUAAAUCUUGGAAAAAUUGCCGCGCACACUGCAAGCAUGCUUUUCAUUUAUCGACUAUCAAUAUUUGCUUGAAUUUCGUCCAUCACUAGAAAACAUCCAAAACAUAAUUUCUGUUGUUUUUAUACCCAAAAAUUGAUCUGCUGGCGGCUAUUUGGCAACGAUGAAUGCGAAUGCUGCGCCUGUGGGGAAACUGAAAUGCAGAACAUGCCUGGGAGAGUUCGACGAGGAGACAAUGAGUGGUUUGUUUGAAUUGAACGAGAUGGACGUGGAUGCAGAGGACGCCGGGAGUGAAGAUCUCAGUGAACAAUUUCAGUUCUGUUGCGGGAUUAAGGUUCGCAACUCUCCUCGGCUGCCUUCCAAGGUGUGCAGCAAGUGCCGCGAAUUCGUUCAGAUGUGGUUAAGCUUUCGCCAAAUGGUCCUCAAU